rnacentral:rRNA from 1 species
AGUGAACGCUGGCGGUAGGCCUAACACAUGCAAGUCGAACGGCAGCACAGGAGAGCUUGCUCUCUGGGUGGCGAGUGGCGGACGGGUGAGGAAUACAUCGGAAUCUACUUUUUCGUGGGGGAUAACGUAGGGAAACUUACGCUAAUACCGCAUACGACCUACGGGUGAAAGCAGGGGAUCUUCGGACCUUGCGCGAUUGAAUGAGCCGAUGUCGGAUUAGCUAGUUGGCGGGGUAAAGGCCCACCAAGGCGACGAUCCGUAGCUGGUCUGAGAGGAUGAGCAGCCACACUGGAACUGAGACACGGUCCAGACUCCUACGGGAGGGAGCAGUGGGGAAUAUUGGACAAUGGGCGCAAGCCUGAUCCAGCCAUACCGCGUGGGUGAAGAAGGCCUUCGGGCUGUAAAGCCCUUUUGUUGGGAAAGAAAUCCAGCUGGUUAAUAUCCGGUUGGGAUGACGGUACCCAAAGAAUAAGCACCGGCUAACUUCGUGCCAGCCGCCGCAGUAA